rnacentral:rRNA from 1 species
UACGUAGGUGGCAAGCGUUGUCCGGAUUUAUUGGGCGUAAAGGGCGUGCAGGCGGUUUGUUUUGUCUAGGGUGAAAGCUCCCGGCUUAACUGGGAGAGGUCCUUGGAUACUGGCAAACUUGAGGGAGGCAGAGGAAAGUGGAAUUCCCGGUGUAGUGGUGAUAUGCGUAGAUAUCGGGAGGAACACCCGUGGCGAAGGCGGCUUCCUGGGCCGCCACUGACGCUGAGACGCGAAAGCGUGGGGAGCGAACGGG